rnacentral:lncRNA from 1 species
GGGUUUUCAAGCAAAAUAGAGCAAACACUGUCCAAUGCCAUGAAUCAGUGCGCUUUGGUAAGCAAUGGUGGUCAACAAUCUCCCAAUUAUAUUUGUUUGCGUCCAAAUGCAAGAUUGUAUAAUGAAACAAAUUAACAUCAUUCUCUUAGGAGGAAUUCAUCUCAAUUUCCAACAAAUUUGAUCAGAUUCGUGACAACAUUUUACGUGCAAGAGUCCCGUUCGUGCUAUCUUUUAUACGCUUGGGGUAUUAACUAUUAA